rnacentral:rRNA from 1 species
GAUGAACGCUGACCGAAUGCUUAACACAUGCAAGUCAACUUGAACUUCGGUUUGGGUGGCGGACGGGUGAGUAACGCGUAAAGAACUUGCCUCACAGAUAGGGACAACAUUUGGAAACGAAUGCUAAUACCUGAUAUUAUGAUUUUAGGGCAUCCUAGGAUUAUGAAAGCUAUAUGCGCUGUGAGAGAGCUUUGCGUCCCAUUAGCUAGUUGGAGAGGUAACGGCUCACCAAGGCGAUGAUGGGUAGCCGGCCUGAGAGGGUGAUCGGCCACAAGGGGACUGAGACACGGCCCUUACUCCUACGGGAGGCAGCAGUGGGGAAUAUUGGACAAUGGACCAAGAGUCUGAUCCAGCAAUUCUGUGUGCACGAUGAAGUUUUUCGGAAUGUAAAGUGCUUUCAGUUGGGAAGAAAAAAAUGACGGUACCAACAGAAGAAGUGACGGCUAAAUACGUG